GAUGAACGCUGGCGGCGUGCCUAAUACAUGCAAGUCGAGCGAACAGACGAGAAGCUUGCUCCUCUGACGUUAGCGGCGGACGGGUGAGUAACACGUGGAUAACCUACCUAUAAGACUGGGAUAACUUCGGGAAACCGGAGCUAAUACCGGAUAACAUGUUGAACCGCAUGGUUCAACAGUGAAAGACGGUCUUGCUGUCACUUAUAGAUGGAUCCGCGCCGCAUUAGCUAGUUGGUAAGGUAACGGCUUACCAAGGCAACGAUGCGUAGCCGACCUGAGAGGGUGAUCGGCCAAACUGGAACUGAGACACGGUCCAGACUCCUACGGGAGGCAGCAGUAGGGAAUCUUCCGCAAUGGGCGAAAGCCUGACGGAGCAACGCCGCGUGAGUGAUGAAGGUCUUCGGAUCGUAAAACUCUGUUAUUAGGGAAGAACAAAUGUGUAAGUAACUAUGCACGUCUUGACGGUACCUAAUCAGAAAGCCACGGCUAACUACGUG
rnacentral:rRNA from 1 species